AAGGCAUGCAAGUCGAACGAGUACUUCGGGUACGAGUGGCAGACGGGAGCGUAACACACUGGUAACCUACCCCGAAGUUCGGAAUAACCUGUCGAAAGACGGGCUAAUACCGGAUGUGCUCUGUACAUACUUUGUACCGAGUAAAGAUUUAUCGCUUCGGGAGGGGCCUAUGGUCUAUCAGCUUGUUGGUGAGGUAAUGGCUCACCAAGGCGAUGACGGAUAGCGGGCGUGAGAGCGUGACCCGCCUCACUGGGACUGAAACACUGCCCAGACUCCUACGGGAGGCUGCAGUCAAGAAUCUUCCCCAAUGGCCGAAAGGCUGAGGGAGCGACGCCGCGUGCAGGAAGAAGCUCUUCGGAGUGUAAACUGCUUUUCUGGAGGAAAAACUAAUGAUGGUACUCCAGGAAUAAGGGGCUGCUAACUUCGUGCCAGCAGCAGCGGUAAUACGAAGGCCCCGAGCGUUAUCCGGAUUUACUGGGCGUAAAGAGCUCAAAGGCGGCUUUCUAAGUCUUCGGUUAAAUCCUGGUGCUCAACAUCAGAACCGCCGAAGAAACUAGAAAGCUCGAGGGCAGGAGAGGUAGACGGAAUUGCCGGUGUAGUAGUAAAAUGCGUUAAUAUCGGCAGGAACACCAAUUGCGAAGGCAGUCUACUGGAAUGACCCUGACGCUACACGAGCGAAAGCGUGGGUAGCGAUACGGAUUAGAUACCCGUGUAGUCCACGCCGUAAACGAUGGAUACUAGGCAUUGGGAGUAUCGACCCUCUCAGUGUCGGCUCACAAGCUAACGCAUUAAGUAUCCCGCCUGGGGAGUACGGCCGCAAGGCUAAAACUCAAAGGAAUUGACGGGAACCCGCACAAGCGGUGGAGCAUGUGGUUUAAUUCGACGAUAACCGAGGAACCUUACCAGGGCUUGAAAUCCUAGCUGCACAGCCACAGAAACGUGGCUUCCUACGAGGGUGCU
rnacentral:rRNA from 1 species